CUGUUCACUACUGCCGUCGCCUGUGUCUUACACUCUCAUCACUGAUGGAACUCAGAGAGGCAAAUCCCGUCUCGCUGAUAACAGAGGAUACACCUACGUAUCAAAUGGAGGCCACAAAGACACCAAGUAGUGGAGAUGUUCUGUCCGGUACGGCAAGAACUUGAGCUGUCCAGCAUCUCUGGUCCAGAAAGGAGAAGACUUCAAGUUGAAGAAACAUUGUCAUCCGAGAUCAAGGAGCGGUGUGUGGAUUCCCUGUUCAAGUCUGCCUAGGAGAUCGUCGAGGCCCUGUACCGCGAUCUUCAGGAUAUACCUGUCAGCCUUCCUUCCGUCGUUGCCAUGUCAAAGAGGGGGAACCGUAAACGCCAAGCCCUUCGCCCACCAGAGUCUAUUAACUCACUUGAGUAUGAAUUGAAGCCACACUACCUCCCUUCUGACUAGCCCUUCGCCAACCAGAGUUUAACUAUCUUCAGUAUGAAGUUAGUAUUAUUUAUUUCUGCUAACAAUAUUCUAUCUAGAAUUAUAUGUAAAUAAAAUAUUGCGUUAGUAUUAAUAAAUAAUAACUCCAAUAGCCUUUCGUAACUCGUAAGUCACUUUAAAAUGGACGACAAAACGGAUAAACGUUCAAAUGUUUGGGCGUAUUUUGUCCUUGAUGACACAAAGAAAAAGACCAAAUGCUGUCUCUGUGGCAUAUGUAUCAGCUACGCAGGUAGUUCGACGAGUUCCAUGAAAAACCAUCUAAGUUUUAAACACAAGAGCAUUUCUCUUGCCGGCAGUGACAGCACGAAAGCCAAGAAACAAUCAACUUUAACCGCAAGGGGCGUUUGGCUUGUAUAAUCUUAAGCCGAUGAAUCGAAAUUCUUAUGAAUUUCUCACUAAAAUGGCAAUGCUAAUGUGUGUGAACGACCUGCUGCCACUAAACCUCGUAAAAGGCAGUGGAUUUCGAGAUUUUGCUCAUGCCAUGAACCCAAUUAUGUUGUUCCCCACCCUAAAACGUUACACAAAUACCUGAUGAAAGAAUAUGAUGAUUGCAAAUCUCUGUUGAUUGAAUAUUUAAAGAAAUGUUCAGCAGUUAGUUAUGCAGUCAUCAUGAAUUAAGUCCGUUCUCACUAGUCUAGAUAUUAUACUUACCAGAUCUGAUUUAGUAUUUUCCAUGAGACAGGCGUACAAUGAGAAAGUCCAUGUUGUGGUGAUAAGAAAUCACAAAUGACAUUCCACAAGUGUUAGUUAAAAUUCGUUUGAUAACUUUUUAUGAUCACUGAUUGUUAAAUUUUUUUGUUCGGUUAAAAAACAUAUUAGGUUGUUCAAAGUUGCAAGUUUGUCUUUAUGCUUCAGCACGAUAAAAACAGAAAAGUUGUUCUGUUGGACUAUUUUAACAUAAAACUAAACAGUUUUCAAUAAUUUGCUGAUCUGUUCAAUAAAAAUGUGAAAUCUUA